rnacentral:rRNA from 1 species
CGUGAGGUGGGCGGACGGGUGAGUAACGCGUGAGCAACCUGCCCGUUCGGAGGGGAUAGUGUCUAGGAAACGGACAGUAAUACCGCAUAACGUUAUUUUUACCGCAUGAUAAGAAAUACCAAAACUGAGGUGCCGAAGGAUGGGCUCGCGUUGGAUUAGAUAGUUGGUGGGGUAACGGCCUACCAAGUCGACGAUCCAUAGCCGGACUGAGAGGUUGAACGGCCACAUUGGGACUGAGACACGGCCCAGACUCCUACGGGAGGCAGCAG